rnacentral:rRNA from 1 species
AUUGAACGCUGGCGGCAUGCUUUACACAUGCAAGUCGAACGGUAACAGGCCGCAAGGUGCUGACGAGUGGCGAACGGGUGAGUAAUGCAUCGGAACGUGCCCAGUCGUGGGGGAUAACGCAGCGAAAGCUGCGCUAAUACCGCAUACGCACUGGGGAUGAAAGCGGGGGACCGUAAGGCCUCGCGCGAUUGGAGCGGCCGAUGUCAGAUGAGGUAGUUGGUGAGGUAAAGGCCCACCAAGCCAACGAUCUGUAGCUGGUCUGAGAGGACGACCAGCCACACUGGGACUGAGACACGGCCCAGACUCCUACGGGAGGCAGCAGUGGGGAAUUUUGGACAAUGGGCGCAAGCCUGAUCCAGCAAUGCCGCGUGCAGGAAGAAGGCCUUCGGGUUGUGAACUGCUUUUGUACGGAACGAAACGGCUCUCACUAAUACUGGGGGCUAAUGACGGUACCGUAAGAAUAAGCACCGGCUAACUACGUGCCAGCAGCCGCGGUAAUAC